GUUUUUUCACGCACGGAGAUUUUCGUGAGAUGUUCUCACUUCAAACAUUACUUUUGGGAGACAUCUUGUAUUGUACUUUUUAAAGUUAGGAGUUUUAGCAUUAUGAUAUUUGAUUAACAGUACACUGACAACACGGUUAUGGGGUGAGAUAGGAGACGUUUCGAGAUAUUUAUAGGACAUUUGGUUCCACAUACCUUAUGUUCAGUUAUAUUAUAGAACGAUACAGUUGUGCUACUCGUGGAAUACACAUAUGAUGAAAAGAUAUUGUAGUUGUCAAUUUAUCCACUUCAACCUUAAUCCACCUGGACAUUAAACCCGAACCCUACACGUCGACUCUAACUUUCUAUUUACCGGAAAUGUCGGCA